GGACGUACCUCUGGUGUACCAGUUGUUCUGCCAAGGGCAUGGCUGGGUAGCUAUGUACGGAAUGGAUAAGCGCUGAAAGCAUCUAAGCGCGAAGCCAACUUCAAGAUAAGAUUUCCCACCGCAAGGGUAAGACUCCAGAAAGACUAUCUGGUUGAUAGGUCGAAGGUGUAAGUGCAGCAAUGUAUUUAGCUUAUCGAUACUAAUAGGUCGAGGACUUGACCAA
rnacentral:rRNA from 1 species